rnacentral:rRNA from 1 species
AAUAGAUACCCUGGUAGUCCACGCCGUAAACGAUGAGUGCUAAGUGUUAGAGGGUUUCCGCCCUUUAGUGCUGCAGCUAACGCAUUAAGCACUCCGCCUGGGGAGUACGGCCGCAAGGCUGAAACUCAAAGAAAUUGACGGGGGCCCGCACAAGCGGUGGAGCAUGUGGUUUAAUUCGAAGCAACGCGAAGAACCUUACCAGGUCUUGACAUCCUCUGCCAACCCUAGAGAUAGGGCGUUCCCCUUCGGGGGGACAGAGUGACAGGUGGUGCAUGGUUGUCGUCAGCUCGUGUCGUGAGAUGUUGGGUUAAGUCCCGCAACGAGCGCAACCCUUGAUCUUAGUUGCCAGCAUUUAGUUGGGCACUCUAAGGUGACUGCCGGUGACAAACCGGAGGAAGGUGGGGAUGACGUCAAAUCAUCAUGCCCCUUAUGACCUGGGCUACACACGUGCUACAAUGGAUGGUACAAAGAGCUGCGAACCCGCGAGGGUAAGCGAAUCUCAUAAAGCCAUCCUCAGUUCGGA